GACGAACCGUGCGAACGUUGUUCGGAAUCACUGGGCUUAAAGGGCGCGUAGGCGGCCUUCUAAGUCAGACGUGAAAUCCCCCGGCUUAACCUGGGAACUGCGUCUGAUACUGGGAGGCUUGAGUAUGGGAGAGGGAUGUAGAAUUCCAGGUGUAGCGGUGAAAUGCGUAGAUAUCUGGAGGAAUACCGGUGGCGAAGGCGGCAUCCUGGACCAUUACUGACGCUGAGGCGCGAAAGCUAGGGGAGCAAACGGG
rnacentral:rRNA from 1 species